rnacentral:rRNA from 1 species
AAUAGAUACCCAGGUAGUCCACGCCGUAAACGAUGAAUACUAGGUGUGGGGGUUUCAACACCUCCGUGCCGCCGCUAACGCAUUAAGUAUUCCGCCUGGGGAGUACGGUCGCAAGAUUAAAACUCAAAGGAAUUGACGGGGAUCCGCACAAGUAGCGGAGCAUGUGGUUUAAUUCGAAGCAACGCGAAGAACCUUACCUACACUUGACAUCCCUUGCAUUACUCUUAAUCGAGGAAAUCCCUUCGGGGACAAGGUGACAGGUGGUGCAUGGUUGUCGUCAGCUCGUGUCGUGAGAUGUUGGGUUAAGUCCCGCAACGAGCGCAACCCUUGUCGUUAGUUACUACCAUUAAGUUGAGGACUCUAGCGAGACUGCCUGGGUUAACCAGGAGGAAGGUGGGGAUGACGUCAAAUCAUCAUGCCCCUUAUGUCUAGGGCUACACACGUGCUACAAUGGCAAGUACAACGAGAUGCAAUACCGCGAGGUGGAGCUAACCUAUAAAACUUGUCUCAGUUCGGAUUGUAGGCUGAAACUCGCCUACA